UAGGGAAUCUUCCACAAUGGACGAAAGUCUGAUGGAGCAACGCCGCGUGAGUGAUGAAGGGUUUCGGCUCGUAAAACUCUGUUGUUGGAGAAGAACAGGUGAUAGAGUAACUGUUAUCAUCUUGACGGUAUCCAACCAGAAAGCCACGGCUAACUACGUGCCAGCAGCCGCGGUAAUACGUAGGUGGCAAGCGUUGUCCGGAUUUAUUGGGCGUAAAGCGAGCGCAGGCGGUUUUUUAGGUCUGAUGUGAAAGCCUUCGGCUUAACCGGAGAAGGGCAUCGGAAACCGGGAGACUUGAGUGCAGAAGAGGACAGUGGAACUCCAUGUGUAGCGGUGAAAUGCGUAGAUAUAUGGAAGAACACCAGUGGCGAAGGCGGCUGUCUGGUCUGUAACUGACGCUGAGGCUCGAAAGCAUGGGUAGCGAACAGGAUUAGAUACCCUGGUAGUCCAUGCCGUAAACGAUGAGUGCUAAGUGUUGGAGGGUUUCCGCCCUUCAGUGCUGCAGCUAACGCAUUAAGCACUCCGCCUGGGGAGUACGACCGCAAGGUUGAAAC
rnacentral:rRNA from 1 species